rnacentral:lncRNA from 1 species
CUUUUUUUUUUUUUUUUUUUUUAGGGCUGCACCUGCAGCAUAUGGAAGUUCCCAGGCUAGGAGUCGAAUCAGAGCUGCAGCUGCCAGCCUGCACUGAAGCCACAGCAACACGGGAUCCCAGCCAUGUCUGCGACCUACACUGCAGCUUGUGGCAACGCCAGAUCCUUAACCCACUGAGUGAGGCCAGAGAUUGAACCUGCAUCCUCAUGGAUUUUAGUUGGGUUCACUACCCCUGAACCAUGAUGGGAACGCCUGAAUUUCUAUAAUUUUUAAAGUAACUAACCAAAACAACUUUGGGGGGAAUUCUAGGAAUCACAAUAUCAGGGUUCUUCAGCAAACUGCUUUUCAACAAAUCAGUUUUUGGUUCAUUAGCUUUGGAGGAAUGAUGACUGGUUAUUUGGCAAAUUGACCUAUUUCUUCAACCUCUCCAUCUCUCCUGGCUCUUUCCCUCUUGUAGCCACACAUCAGGUACCUGGGACUUCCACCCCUGGUAGCCUCCUUCCUGUUAUGGUCAAUGGAAUGGGCUGGACCCUCCUCCCAGUCAGUGGGAAAUAGGGACGUGACCACACCAGCCUUUAAUCUCGUACUUUGUGACCUCUUCUGCUGCAUUCUCCCCUUCAUUCACAUUCUAAUUCUUAGGGUUGUUUUCUUCUCUUCUCCCCACAUUGAUCCAAGACCCCCAUCCCUAAUUAAGACUUCUGAACUCUGCUCUCAAAAAAUACUUGGGCAUGACUGAUAUUUACUGAGGUUUGAGGUUACCUGGUAAUGUCAAGUGGAAUCUUAGUCAACCCAGCUCUGCCAACAUCUCCCCCUUUCCUCCCAGCAUGCCACUGGGUCCUCCCCUUUUCAGCCCCGCCUUCUUGCUAUUCAUGCUUCUUUCCGCUCUCUGGUCCUUCUUCAAUCUCUCCUGUUGACUCUUCUUAUAGAACACGUUCAUUCUAUCCUGCUUACUAUUUCCACACACCGGUGGCAGAAACGCACCUUCCAGAGCCAAGCAGGUUCAAAACGUGCUGUGUCCAGUGAAAGAAACCUGGCCCCUCCCCUGAGAGAUAGAGAAGGUGGCUGUAUGUCUAUACAUUGCAAUGUAAAGAAACCCUCCUACAUCUGCAUGCACUGAAGUCUUUGAUCUUGACACAUGUCUCCAUGACCUUGUAUCUCCUCUUCAUCCUGAGUUUCACAGCCAAGCUUCCUGGGCCAGCUACUGAUACUAACUGUUUUUCCUUUGUCCCAAUUGGUAGAUACUUCCUGAUCUUUUCUUUCCUAAUCUCCUUGCAACAUGUGACACAGUUGAUGCCUCCUUCAAGAAACUCUUUUAUACUCCAACUGCGCUGGCUGGAGCUUCUCAAUCUCUUUGGCACUGUCCUUUUUUCCUGUAACCUGCUUAGAGGUCAGUGACUCCAGCUCUGGCCUUAGUUCUCACCUGUUCCUAAGGAGAUCCUGGUUGGUUCCACCCACCCAUGGGCUUAACCACCCCUGCUAUGCUGCCAUGGCAUCUCAGGUCAUGGUCCUGGGCAUUGGUCUGGGCAACUCAGGACAACACCCAGAUGUCACCUUGGCAUCUAGAACUCAACACAUACAAAGUGAACUCAUCCUCUUUCCCCUAAAUAUAUUUCCAUUGCCUAAGCCAGGAAGCUCCCUUUCCUACCAUCACCAAAUCCAAGUUGGGCAGCAUCUCCUCUUCAAUGCCUCUGAAAGCUACUCUGUCCUCCCCCCUUCAUUGCUCCUGCUUGGGAGCAAGCCCUCAUCACUCCUUCCUUGGGGUAAGACCAUUGCCCUUGGUCUGCUGAUUUUCUAAUCUUCACCCAACACGGCUGCCAAAGGGAUCUUUCCUUAAUGCCAAGUUAGCCAUACCCUCCUGCCCCUGACUUGCCUGAAAUCUUUUAUGAAGCUCAUGCUUUCAAAGUAACAUUUCAAGCACACAGGGCCUUCUGUAAUUUAACAUUUUCUCUCUCCUGCUCCAAAAUUCAGUUUAGAAUCCAUGUCUUCUGGGAGGCUUGGCUGAGCCCACUCCUGCUAGUUAUCCUAUUUUUAGUUAGGCAGAACUCUCAGCCCACAUCCCUCUGAUGAGGGGCUUCAUUGUCUAUGAGCUUCUAGAGGGUAGGCCUGGUCAGAUUCAGCCUCAUCUCUCCAGAGUCUAGCAUGUGGUAGGCACUCGCAAGGUUCUGAUAAAAAAAAAAGCAGGAAAAUCUCAGGCUUCUCAGUCCAUGAUGUCUCAGUAUUGACUUUGACAUUGUGCAGGAGGCAAAGACAGGAAGCCCUACAUGGAAUUCCCAAAGUCCAACAGGGCCACAGCUUGGCUGAAGGACUUCUGAGGGCAAAGGCAAUCGGGGGAGUGCAGCUUUUCCUUAUAUUUAGGAAGAUGCAAUUUCCAUAGUCCUGUCUCUCUAGGACUCUGGUCAGGGGAACUACUGCCCUGGCAAGUGAAGGUGGUCCUUCUGGAAGGCUCUGUCCUGCUCUGAAGGUGGUCAGUGGUGCUUGGACAGCAUAAAGGUGUCACCAACAUUUGUUGGUGGAAACACAAAGUGCUUUUGGCUUUGCCUCAAUGCAGGGGACACAUCCUGUGGGGGGGAAACAUUAUGCUGGCCCCUUCUUGUCUUACCUUCUGAGCACUAAGGGGAUACACCUGGUACUAUGGUGGUAGUUGGAAGGGACACGUGAUUUAAAGCCUUCUUUGGUGAGGCCACCAGACCUUGAGACCACUCCUUAGGUGCCACUGACCUGUGACCAAACACAGUCCAGGUGAAUCAAACACUUUCCCAGACUAGCAGCCAUUGGGAACUCCAUGUAAAUGUGUCACCAAGAGGGCAGCCAAGAAGGAGGUGGCACCUGGGGCCCAAUAGGCCAAUUCCUCAAGCCAAAGGAGACGGGUACCUAAUUCACCAUGAUAGGAGAGAACCCCUGCCAAGUCCCUCUUGAGAGAGGGGAAGAGAGCCACUUCAAAAUAAAAGCAAAGGUGGGUCUAUAAAACACGGCAUUCCUGGCAUCGGUGAUCAGAAGUGACAAGCCUGCCAAAGCUCUGUGAUGCAUGGUGUCCCUAGAAUCAAUGGCUCGAGGUAAUGAGCUUGCAAAAAUUCUAUGAAAAAUGGCUUUCAAAGGUAUCAAAACCAAAGGGAAAGACUGCAGGUAUUUAACUGGCUAGGAGCCAUGGUGACUUAACUAGCCUACAGAAAAUCAGUCAACAUUCACAUUGGGAAUCAAACUGAAAUAUCAAUAAAGGACUAUGCUUUGGUCUAACACACUAACAAAAGUUAACAUUUUCACGACAAUUUGUAAUGUUGGGAAGGAUAUGGUAAAACUGCUAUCUUCACACACGGCUCUUGACAGUAUAUAUUUGUACACUCUCCCAGAGAGGGCAAUUUAUCAUUAUCUGUCAAGAAUUGCAUGAGUUCAUGACCCUCUCUCCAAAGAAAAUAAUCCAAGAUACGGAGGAAAGUUUCAUUAGAGUGUUAAUUGUCAUUUUGACAGACGUAUCAAGUGUUCCAAUUAUAGUGCAUGACAAAUGCUUUAAUAUUGUGCUAGAUAUUGAAAUGAUGACCGUGAGAACAACAGAACAACACAGACGAGUGCCCACGAUGACGACAGGACACAACGCCAUGUGUACAUAAGGAUGACAACUGAGUGAAACAACCUUCACUGGAAUCCUAGUCAACCCACUGAAAUGAUAACUGUGGUUGUGUCUGGGUGUGGGGAGGAUGGGGGAUUACUUUUUCUUUUUCAAAUAUAGUAUAAUGUGAUAUAACAAUAAAAAGUUGUUUUGUUUUUUACUUUUUUUUAGAGACCGAAGGGUUGCCAAGUGAAGAUUAAAAAAAGGACUGAGAAUCCUCAUCAGCAGCACUGGGAGUGACUUUUAAGUCACCAGUUUAUUUGCAUCUGGACAAAGAGGAACCUAAAACACUUUCAUUAUCUUAAGAGAGCGAUUAGCCAGCUGAAAAGAAUGUUCCUCCUGACAGCACUUAAUCUUGGUCAGCCUCCUCUCAGCGCCCAGGCCAUUACUUUGCUGAAUCAUUCUACCAAGCAGGCCCUCAGCCACAGAGCCCAGCCACCAUCUGCUCACCAGAGGCACCAGGGCCAGCUGACUGCAACCACAGAACGUUAGGAUCUCGCUAUUGGGGUUGUUUUUACUGCUGACACUCUGUUGGUUGUAUGUGUGUGUGUUUAGAUAAAAAGCAUACUAUUUAUGUAAAAUUAUGUAUUUAGAUAAAAAUCCAUAUUUAAGAUCAUGUCAGAUCUUUAAAUAUGAAUUAACACUGCACAGUCUUGGACUCCAAAGAGAAAAAGCCUUCCUUUUCAUCUGGUUUUACCCUCUGUUUCCAAACAGCUAUUUAGUCUGUUAUAAAGAUCUCCAAGCAGAAUGUUUAAGUAAAAAAGAGGAAGCAACAGAAUGAUAGGUUUACUAUAAUGCCAGUAAUGUCAACACACACACACACACAUACAUACACACAUCACAGGCACAUACACAUACACAUACAUAUGCACACAUAAAUGAAAAAAUCUGAAUAGCUUACUAAACCAUUGGGAGUCAUGAUCUCUAGGGCUCUGAAUACAGAGAAAACCAUUUUUUCAAUUUUGCUUUCCUCUAAUGUGUGUUUAUUUUACAUUGAAUUUUUAUUACUUUUGUAACUAGAACCAAUAAAGAUUGAAUGUUAAAGAUGAUCAGGCACUAAGAUGCUCUUUGCAUGGGAGGUUUUCCUAGUGAUGAAAUAUCUUCCUAGUCAAACUAAAUGCUAUAAAAUUGGGUUGUGAUGAUCACUGUACAACUAUAAAUAUAAUAAAAUUCAUUGAACAAUUAAAAAAACUAUGUACUUUCAUGUAACAAUUUUAUUCAUUAAAAAUUUGAAAAGUAGA